rnacentral:rRNA from 1 species
UACAGAGGCCUCGAGCGUUAGGCGGAAUCACUGGGCUUAAAGCGUGUGUAGGCGGACUUCUAAGUACCUUGUGAAAUCCCACGGCUCACCCGUGGAACUGCUCGGUAUACUGGUCGUCUUGAGCCUUCUAGGGGCGAGUGGAACAAAUGGUGGAGCGGUGAAAUGCGUAGAUAUCAUUUGGAACGCCAAUGGUGAAAACAACUCGCUGGGGGUUUGCUGACGCUGAGACACGAAAGCCAGGGGAGCAAACGGG